GGUAGUGAUGGCAAAGAGGCCACACCCGUUCCCAUCCCGAACACGGAAGUUAAGCUCUUUUGCGCCGAUGGUAGUUGGGGGUUUCCCCCUGUGAGAGUAGGACGUUGCCA
rnacentral:rRNA from 1 species